rnacentral:miRNA from 1 species
GCAGCGCAGGCCCGAGGCCUCGCCGGCGUAGGCGGCCUGCCUGGUACCAGUCCUGCGUGCGGUGAGGUGGCCGGGGCACG